CUUGGGUGGUAGGGUAAUGUGACUGUAAAAUGCAUUAUCUUAUUUGAUUCUUAUAAUAACCAACUGAAGUGGGUAGUAUUAUAUUUUCCAUUUAACAGAUGGGAAAACCAAGAGAUUUUUCCCCAAACCACAUGAAUGGUAGAACCAAGUCCAAAAUCAUUCCAUUCUAAUAGAUUCAUGUGAAUUGUUCAUUACAUAUUUCCCAAGAGCAAGGCGGGUAGGACAGGAAAGGAGAAGAAUAAAGGGAUGGCCCUUGGGGGCUAAGGACAGGAGAAGACAGUACCAAGUAGGAAAGGGAGGCUGAGGACUCUGCAGACUGCAUCUCUGCCUCCACCACCGUUAGGCUGAGGGCUUUCACUUUCUGGAAAGAGGCUUUGAGAAAUGACUUGUGAGCCAAGUCUUCAGGUUAACUUGGAUUGUAAGUGGUGGGGACUCAAAUGGAAAUAAGCUCAGGGAAAAUUCAUGUUUCAGUGCUAAUCUGAUGGACCUGUUUCAUUCAUUGGUCAAUACAAAAGAAUACAGUUAUGAAACUUAAAUGCUCUCAAUUUAAAAGAGAUGUUUUCAAGUGUGUUUGUUCACAUUGAAAAUAGAAUCUAAUGAGUUUUUCCAGAUGAUGAAUAUGUAUAUGCAUAUAUUUAGGCCAACAUUCUUAGAUGGAUGAAGUUUCUCUAUAAAGACUUUAACAGAGGAAAAUAGGAAGGAGGGGAGCCAAGCAGAUAGAAGAAAAAUUUACAUGCAGGUGAUAAUAAAAGAGAAAAAAUAUCAACCCUUUUGCUUUGGAAAUGUCAGUUCCUAAAUCCUGGGAAAGAAAGACAAAAAUAAUGAGAAGAUGGCAAAUAAUGAUUAAAUGAGGAUAAUGAUAACAAAAAUAUUAAUAAAUAACAAUAGUUACCCUUUGAAAGUGACAACUGUGUGAGGUACAUGCAUUAUUGCAUUUAGCUCUUACAGCAGCCCAGUGAGGUGGUGUUUCCUUAUUUUACACAUAACAAAAGACUAAAUAUCUGACUCAAGGUCAUAUAAAUAGUAGACAAGAGCUAGGUUUCAACUCAGGUCUGUCUGACCCCACUGCCUUGAUCUUUUAACUCUUUCCCCUAAACCACCUCACAGUGAGAAGGAUGAUGGGAAAAUAAAAUACCAAUCAUCUUAAAGCUGGUUUUUAAAC
rnacentral:lncRNA from 1 species